UUUGAGAGAUAGGUCAGUGAAAAUAUCGAGCAUAGUUCGGAAGUUCAGCGAAGGCCACCAUUUAUUCCACCAUUCUACAGUCGGCUUAAAAGUGUAAUCUACUGAAUGAGCAAUUGGCUCUACCUUCGCUUCGUCGGUAUCUUCUAACGAACGGUCAUUGCCAUGGAGUGUGGCACUUUCUGUAAGAGCUCUAUGUAAUUGAGGACGUUGCUUCAACAAUGGUUGGACAGGCCUACUAUCCCUGUGAGUACGUAAAGAAUUGGAGCGAAGUGCUUUAUCGAAUCCAUCAGUAAUUUCAUCUUUGCUAGUAACGUCUUUGAGGUUAGUGAAACCAAAUUCACUACUUUCUAUAGGAUAAUAUGGCGUUGGACUUUUUGACCUAACAUAUCGAAGUCGGCUUAACAAUAUGGAGUCAAACGCUUUUGAAGAAAAUGUUUUACCAUUGCGAGUCCAGUAUGCAGAAUCUCCUUCCGCGGAUGAGUUUCUAACACUCAUAAUGGCAUCAAACGAUAAAGCGCUGACCGCUUCAAUGUAAUCUUUGUGCAUUGAAAAGAAGUAUAAGAGUGGUGCAUUGUAUUUUUGGGCAUAUUGAAUUGCAUUGUUGAUAGCUCCUAUAACAUACUUUAAAAUUUUGUGAUUGACGUCGUUAGAAAUUAAAAAGCCUGGAUAGGAAGCAGAUUGAAACAAUUCAAACAAACUCUGGCUGGAAUGUGAGUUUAAAUUUUGCGCGUAUAAACAAAGGUAGCAAAGCGAGCAGCAAAGCAUUUGAGCAAUCUC